GAUGAACGCUGGCGGCGUGCCUAAUACAUGCAAGUCGAGCGAACGGACGAGAAGCUUGCUUCUCUGAUGUUAGCGGCGGACGGGUGAGUAACACGUGGAUAACCUACCCAUAAGACUGGGAUAACUUCGGGAAACCGGAGCUAAUACCGGAUAAUAUUUUGAACCGCAUGGUUCAAAAGUGAAAGACGGUCUUACUGUCACUUAUGGAUGGAUCCGCGCUGCAUUAGCUAGUUGGUAAGGUAACGGCUUACCAAGGCAACGAUGCAUAGCCGACCUGAGAGGGUGAUCGGCCACACUGGAACUGAGACACGGUCCAGACUCCUACGGGAGGCAGCAGUAGGGAAUCUUCCGCAAUGGGCGAAAGCCUGACGGAGCAACGCCGCGUGAGUGAUGAAGGUCUUCGGAUCGUAAAACUCUGUUAUUAGGGAAGAACAUAUGUGUAAGUAACUGUGCACAUCUUGACGGUACCUAAUCAGAAAGCCACGGCUAACUACGUGCCAGCAGCCGCGGUAAUACGUAGGUGGCAAGCGUUAUCCGGAAUUAUUGGGCGUAAAGCGCGCGUAGGCGGUUUUUUAAGUCUGAUGUGAAAGCCCACGGCUCAACCGUGGAGGGUCAUUGGAAACUGGAAAACUUGAGUGCAGAAGAGGAAAGUGGAAUUCCAUGUGUAGCGGUGAAAUGCGCAGAGAUAUGGAGGAACACCAGUGGCGAAGGCGACUUUCUGGUCUGUAACUGACGCUGAUGUGCGAAAGCGUGGGGAUCAAACAGG
rnacentral:rRNA from 1 species